rnacentral:rRNA from 1 species
UGGAUCCAGACUUUGAUUAUGGCUCAGGACGAACGCUGGCGGCGCGCCUAACACAUGCAAGUCGAACGAGAGAUGAGGAGCUUGCUCUCCAAAUCGAGUGGCGAACGGGUGAGUAACGCGUGAGGAACCUGCCUCAAAGAGGGGGACAACAGUUGGAAACGACUGCUAAUACCGCAUAAGCCCACAGCUCGGCAUCGAGCAGAGGGAAAAGGAGUGAUCCGCUUUGAGAUGGCCUCGCGUCCGAUUAGCUGGUUGGUGGGGUAACGGCCCACCAAGGCAACGAUCGGUAGCCGGACUGAGAGGUUGAACGGCCACAUUGGGACUGAGACACGGCCCAGACUCCUACGGGAGGCAGCAGUGGGGAAUAUUGCACAAUGGGGGAAACCCUGAUGCAGCGACGCCGCGUGGAGGAAGAAGGUCUUCGGAUCGUAAACUCCUGUUGUUGAGGAAGAUAAUGACGGUACUCAACAAGGAAGUGACGGCUAACUACGUGCCAGCAGCCGCGGUAAAACGUAGGUCACAAGCGUUGUCCGGAAUUACUGGGUGUAAAGGGAGCGCAGGCGGGAGAACAAGUUGGAAGUGAAAUCCAUGGGCUCAACCCAUGAACUGCUUUCAAAACUGUUUUUCUUGAGUAGUGCAGAGGUAGGCGGAAUUCCCGGUGUAGCGGUGGAAUGCGUAGAUAUCGGGAGGAACACCAGUGGCGGAGGCGGCCUACUGGGCACCAACUGACGCUGAGGCUCGAAAGUGUGGGUAGCAAACAGGAUUAGAUACCCUGGUAGUCCACACCGUAAACGAUGAUUACUAGGUGUUGGAGGAUUGACCCCUUCAGUGCCGCAGUUAACACAAUAAGUAAUCCACCUGGGGAGUACGACCGCAAGGUUGCAACUCAAAUGAAUUGACGGA